rnacentral:lncRNA from 1 species
UUCUUAUUAGUCCAAUCGGCUGUAAGCCAAGGCUGGCUACUGGCAUCAUCUCUACUCUGUAUUUUGUAUACUCUUCUUAACUGGUAUGUUCUGAUUAAAUUCAUAUUCCAAACUAUGUGUUUGCUUUGUUAAUGCAGUUCACCAAUUUGUGAUUUCCCUAUGGUAUUCUAGUUAAUAUGCAAUCAACAUGCCUUGAUUAUUGUAUCGCAAAACAUGUUUAAGCUCAUAGCUAUUAUAUUGUUUGGCAUGUCAAUCCUGCUUUAAAUAAUUGGUUCACUAGCAUGUCCCAAGCUGCAUUGUGUGCUUAUGAUUUCACCCAGCAUGACCAAAUCCUGCAUGUUCUGUAUAUGAUUAGUAUUUCUAAAACCUUGAAUGUUUCAUGAAGUGUUUGUCUAGUCCAGUUUGUUCUAUUUCACUAAUGAGAUCUUAUUUGUGUCUUAAACCUAUGUGUUCUCAACUUAACUUUGCAACUACAAUCUAUGUAUUUGAUUGCCCCAUCACUAAGGUACAUUCUAGUUGUUCCCUUUACCUAUUUCCCUUGUGAGAGGUCUGUUAUGAAACUGUGUGUUCUCUGACCUGCCUUCUGAUUAUUUUAUAAAAUGUUCUCCAUUUUUUCUCAUUAUAUUCCUAGUCUAACUAUGUUCUGAUUUUCAUAAAAUUCUUUCUAUUACUAAUACCUUCUUUCUAUUUUUACCAAACUCUUUCAAAGUCAUUAUUCACUCUCACAUGACUCUUAGAAUACUAGGUUCUGCCCCUCUUACAUGUGUAUUGCUUUGAGAUCCUUGAGAUCUCUCUAAAAUCAGGCAUGUUAGAGCUGACCUUUCCACACUGCACCUAAAUCAGUUAUUUUUUGAGAAAAGGGUCUAGGUGAGAGCACUGCCUGGGAUCUAUAAGGUCCUUAGGGAACUCUAACAUACCUAGACAUGAUAUUGUCUGUGGAACUUUGGUAUUUGAGGCUGUUGGAGGCUUGGAAGUCAUUUGAGCCUACUGCAGGCUCCCUAUAGAUUAACUCCUAUUCAUUUAUGUAUUUUGAUUUAAUGCAUUAGUUUGUAAUAAUUAUUGUAAACAACACUAGGGUGAUUAGUGAAAAGGGGGUGGUUAGUUAUAUAUAUAUUAGGUAAAUCGGGUAGAUACCAUGCCAAUAGGGUUGUGUUAAUUCAAAUGUAUUUGCUACGUUUGCUUUACUUCCACAAUAUUAG